rnacentral:tRNA from 1 species
GAGAGGAUAGUUUAAUUAAAAUGUUGGGUUGUCAGUCCAGAGUUGCCUUAUUAGGUUCCUUUUU